CCUAUGGGUGGCUGCAGUGGGGAAUAUUGCACAAUGGGCGCAAGCCUGAUGCAGCCAUGCCGCGUGUGUGAAGAAGGCCUUCGGGUUGUAAAGCACUUUCAGCGGGGAGGAAGGCGUUAAGGUUAAUAACCUUGGCGAUUGACGUUACCCGCAGAAGAAGCACCGGCUAACUCCGUGCCAGCAGCCGCGGUAAUACGGAGGGUGCAAGCGUUAAUCGGAAUUACUGGGCGUAAAGCGCACGCAGGCGGUCUGUCAAGUCGGAUGUGAAAUCCCCGGGCUCAACCCGGGAACUGCAUUCGAAACUGGCAGGCUAGAGUCUUGUAGAGGGGGGUAGAAUUCCAGGUGUAGCGGUGAAAUGCGUAGAGAUCUGGAGGAAUACCGGUGGCGAAGGCGGCCCCCUGGACAAAGACUGACGCUCAGGUGCGAAAGCGUGGGGAGCAAACAGGAUUAGAUACCCUUGUAGUC
rnacentral:rRNA from 1 species